rnacentral:rRNA from 1 species
UACGUAGGGUGCGAGCGUUGUCCGGAAUUAUUGGGCGUAAAGAGCUUGUAGGCGGUUUUGUCGCGUCUGCCGUGAAAAUCCGGGGCUCAACCCCGGACUUGCGGUGGGUACGGGCAGGACUAGAGUGUGGUAGGGGAGACUGGAAUUCCUGGUGUAGCGGUGAAAUGCGCAGAUAUCAGGAGGAACACCAGCGGCGAAGGCGGGGUCUCUGGGGCCGUAACUGACGCUGAGGAGCGAAAAGCAUGGGGAGCGAACAGG